rnacentral:rRNA from 1 species
AGCAGUAGCCACGGUAAUACGAAGGGGGCUAGCGUUGUUCGGAAUUACUGGGCGUAAAGCGCACGUAGGCGGACAUUUAAGUCAGGGGUGAAAUCCCGGGGCUCAACCCCGGAACUGCCUUUGAUACUGGGUGUCUAGAGUAUGGAAGAGGUGAGUGGAAUUCCGAGUGUAGAGGUGAAAUUCGUAGAUAUUCGGAGGAACACCAGUGGCGAAGGCGGCUCACUGGUCCAUUACUGACGCUGAGGUGCGAAAGCGUGGGGAGCAAACAGGAUUAGAUACCCCCGUAGUCCCUGUCUCUUAUAC